UAAACUUAGUUUGAUUUUAACAAAAAUGGAAUUCUUAGGGUUCUUUGAUAUGCUGAAUCUAAACAUGUAUUUAGAUUUUUGAUUAUGGGCCCAGUUUUCAAGUUGGUCCAAAUCGGGGUCCAAAAUUAAACUUUGUUUGAUUCAACAAAAAUUGAAUAUAUGGGGUUCUUUGAUAUGCUGAAUCUAACCAUGUAUUUAGAUUUUUGAUUUUUGGGCCCCGUUAUCAACUUUGUCCACAUUGCGGUCAAAAGGGUCCUAAAUUAAACUUUGUUUGAUUUCAUCAAAAAUUGAAUUCUUGGGGUUCUUUGAUAUGCCGAAUCUAACCGUGUAGUUAGAUUCUUAAUUUUUGGUUCCGUUUUCAAAUUGGUCUACAUUAAGGUCCAAAGGGUUCAAAAUUAAACUUAGUUUGAUUUUAACAAAAAUUGAAUUCUUAGGGUUCUUUGAUAUGCUGAAUCUAAACAUGUAUUUAGAUUUUUGAUUAUGGGCCCAGUUUUCAAGUUGGUCCAAAUCGGGGUCCAAAAUUAAACUUUGUUUGAUUCAACAAAAAUUGAAUAUAUGGGGUUCUUUGAUAUGCUGAAUCUAACCAUGUAUUUAGAUUUUUGAUUUUUGGGCCCCGUUAUCAACUUUGUCCACAUUGAGGUCAAAAGGGUCCUGAAUUAAACUUUGUUUCAUUUCAUCAAAAAUUGAAUUCUUGGAGUUCUUUGAUAUGCCGAAUCUAACCGUGUAGUUAGAUUCUUAAUUUUUGGUUCCGUUUUCAAAUUGGUCUACAUUAAGGUCCAAAGGGUUCAAAAUUAAACUUAGUUUGAUUUUAACAAAAAUUGAAUUCUUAGGGUUCUUUGAUAUGCUGAAUCUAAACAUGUAUUUAGAUUUUUGAUUAUGGGCCCAGUUUUCAAGUUGGUCCAAAUCGGGGUCUAAAAUUAAACUUUGUUUGAUUCAACAAAAAUUGAAUAUAUGGGGUUAUUUGAUAUGCUGAAUCUAACCAUGUAUUUAGAUUUUUGAUUUUUGGGCCCCGUUAUCAACUUUGUCCACAUUGAGGUCAAAAGGGUCCUGAAUUAAACUUUGUUUCAUUUCAUCAAAAAUUGAAUUCUUGGAGUUCUUUGAUAUGCCGAAUCUAACCGUGUAGUUAGAUUCUUAAUUUUUGGUUCCGUUUUCAAAUUGGUCUACAUUAAGGUCCAAAGGGUUCAAAAUUAAACUUAGUUUGAUUUUAACAAAAAUUGAAUUCUUAGGGUUCUUUGAUAUGCUGAAUCUAAACAUGUAUUUAGAUUUUUGAUUAUGGGCCCAGUUUUCAAGUUGGUCCAAAUCGGGGUCUAAAAUUAAACUUUGUUUGAUUCAACAAAAAUUGAAUAUAUGGGGUUAUUUGAUAUGCUGAAUCUAACCAUGUAUUUAGAUUUUUGAUUUUUGGGCCCCGUUAUCAACUUUGUCCACAUUGAGGUCAAAAGGGUCCUGAAUUAAACUUUGUUUCAUUUCAUCAAAAAUUGAAUUCUUGGAGUUCUUUGAUAUGCCGAAUCUAACCGUGUAGUUAGAUUCUUAAUUUUUGGUUCCGUUUUCAAAUUGGUCUACAUUAAGGUCCAAAGGGUUCAAAAUUAAACUUAGUUUGAUUUUAACAAAAAUGGAAUUCUUAGGGUUCUUUGAUAUGCUGAAUCUAAACAUGUAUUUAGAUUUUUGAUUAUGGGCCCAGUUUUCAAGUUGGUCCAAAUCGGGGUCCAAAAUUAAACUUUGUUUGAUUCAACAAAAAUUGAAUAUAUGGGGUUCUUUGAUAUGCUGAAUCUAACCAUGUAUUUAGAUUUUUGAUUUUUGGGCCCCGUUAUCAACUUUGUCCACAUUGCGGUCAAAAGGGUCCUAAAUUAAACUUUGUUUGAUUUCAUCAAAAAUUGAAUUCUUGGGGUUCUUUGAUAUGCCGAAUCUAACCGUGUAGUUAGAUUCUUAAUUUUUGGUUCCGUUUUCAAAUUGGUCUACAUUAAGGUCCAAAGGGUUCAAAAUUAAACUUAGUUUGAUUUUAACAAAAAUUGAAUUCUUAGGGUUCUUUGAUAUGCUGAAUCUAAACAUGUAUUUAGAUUUUUGAUUAUGGGCCCAGUUUUCAAGUUGGUCCAAAUCGGGGUCCAAAAUUAAACUUUGUUUGAUUCAACAAAAAUUGAAUAUAUGGGGUUCUUUGAUAUGCUGAAUCUAACCAUGUAUUUAGAUUUUUGAUUUUUGGGCCCCGUUAUCAACUUUGUCCACAUUGAGGUCAAAAGGGUCCUGAAUUAAACUUUGUUUCAUUUCAUCAAAAAUUGAAUUCUUGGAGUUCUUUGAUAUGCCGAAUCUAACCGUGUAGUUAGAUUCUUAAUUUUUGGUUCCGUUUUCAAAUUGGUCUACAUUAAGGUCCAAAGGGUUCAAAAUUAAACUUAGUUUGAUUUUAACAAAAAUGGAAUUCUUAGGGUUCUUUGAUAUGCUGAAUCUAAACAUGUAUUUAGAUUUUUGAUUAUGGGCCCAGUUUUCAAGUUGGUCCAAAUCGGGGUCCAAAAUUAAACUUUGUUUGAUUCAACAAAAAUUGAAUAUAUGGGGUUCUUUGAUAUGCUGAAUCUAACCAUGUAUUUAGAUUUUUGAUUUUUGGGCCCCGUUAUCAACUUUGUCCACAUUGAGGUCAAAAGGGUCCUAAAUUAAACUUUGUUUGAUUUCAUAAAAAAUUGAAUUCUUGGGGUUCUUUGAUAUGCCGAAUCUAACCGUGUAGUUAGAUUCUUAAUUUUUGGUUCCGUUUUCAAAUUGGUCUACAUUAAGGUCCAAAGGGUUCAAAAUUAAACUUAGUUUGAUUUUAACAAAAAUUGAAUUCCUAGGGUUCUUUGAUAUGCUGAAUCUAAACAUGUAUUUAGAUUUUUGAUUAUGGGCCCAGUUUUCAAGUUGGUCCAAAUCGGGGUCCAAAAUUAAACUUUGUUUGAUUUCAACAAAAAUUGAAUAUAUGGGGUUCUUUGAUAUGCUGAAUCAAACCAUGUAUUUAGAUUUUUGAUUUUUGGGCCCUGUUAUCAACUUUGUCCACAUUGAGGUCAAAAGGGUCCUAAAUUAAACUUUGUUUGAUUUCAUCAAAAAUUGAAUUCUUGGGGUUCUUUGAUAUGCUGAAUCUAACCAUGUAUUUAGAUUUUGGAUAUUGGACCAUAAUAGGUGAAUGUCCAAUUUAAUAAAAAAAAUUUAAGUUCUUAGACCACAUUCAUUCUGUGUCAGUAACCUAUGCUGUGUCAAAUAUUUAAUCACAAUCCAAAUUCAGAGCUGUAUCAAGCUUGAAUGUUGUGUCCAUACUUGCCCCAACUGUCCAGGGUUCGACCUCUGCGGUCGUAUCAAGCUGCGCCCUGCGGAGCAUUUUAUUAUU